UACGAAGGGGGCUAGCGUUGUUCGGAUUUACUGGGCGUAAAGCGCACGUAGGCGGAUUGUUAAGUCAGGGGUGAAAUCCUGGAGCUCAACUCCAGAACUGCCUUUGAUACUGGCAAUCUUGAGUCCGGAAGAGGUGAGUGGAACUCCUAGUGUAGAGGUGGAAUUCGUAGAUAUUAGGAAGAACACCGGUGGCGAAGGCGGCCCACUGGAUCGGUACUGACGCUGAGGUG
rnacentral:rRNA from 1 species